rnacentral:rRNA from 1 species
ACGCUCGACACCUACGGGAGCAGCAGUGGGGAAUAUUGCACAAUGGGGGAAACCCUGAUGCAGCGACGCCGCGUGAGCGAAGAAGUAUUUCGGUAUGUAAAGCUCUAUCAGCAGGGAAGAAACUGACGGUACCUGACUAAGAAGCACCGGCUAAAUACGUGCCAGCAGCCGUGGUAAUCUGAGCGGGCUGGCAAGGC